rnacentral:lncRNA from 1 species
CAGAAGUCUUUUUGGAAGAUUUUGUUUCUGAGCUAAAAGAGUUGGAGAGUGGUAUUGACUUUGAGGGCAAAAGGAUAUUUUUUAAGUUAGAUUCUGUCAUAUGUGAUACACCUGCCCGCGCUUUUGUAAAAAAUAUUAAGGGUCACAACGGAUAUUUUGGCUGUGAUAAAUGUGCCCAGAAAGGAGAAUAUCUAUCUAAUAGAAUGACCUUUCCCUUAGACUCUUGCCCACUCAGGACAGAUGAAUCCUUUGCCCAAAAACAUAAUGAAGAACAUCACCAGGGCCCUGACCCUUUCCAGGGGUUGAACGUAGGGAUGGUAUCUCAGUUUCCAGGGGAUUACAUGCAUUCCGUUUGUUUAGGUGUCGUUAGGAAACUUCUGAGCAUAUGGCUAAGAGGAGCUCUCAGAUUCCGUUUACCUGCUUCCAUUGUCAACCAGAUGUCUGACGGUUUAACAGGGUUGCGUAGCUAUAUUCCUUUGGAAUUUGCAAGAAAACCCAGAACAUUGAGGGACAUUGACAGGUGGAAGGCAACAGAAUUUAGGAUGUUUUUGUUGUACAUUGGGCCUGUCAUUCUGCCUUCAUACUUGGACACAAAUAUUUACCAAAAUUUUAUGCUGCUGUUUUCCAGCAUUGCCAUUUUAGUCAGUCCAACCUUGUCCUCGCUGCACUGGCAGUAUGCCGAAACAUUGCUCCGUAUGUUUGUGACGCAUUUUGGCCAAAUAUAUGGCAAGGACGCCCUUGUGUACAAUGUGCAUUCAUUGGUACAUUUGGCCCAGGAUGUGAGACUGCAUGGUUGUCGCGAUAACAUUUCAGCUUUCCCUUAUGAGAACCACUUGCAGAAACUGAAGAAACUUGUUAGAAAACCUGAACGCCCCCUCGCGCAAAUGUUACGCCGAUUGUCUGAGCAAAAUACUCAACAGAAUAAACUCCCUGACAGAACAUCAGUCUCUUUGAAAAAGCCCCAUUUUGUUGGACCAGUUCCGAAUGACAAUCCCACAGCACUACAAAAAGGGAAAAACAACAAAAGAAAAAAAAAUUCACGUAACCCAAGGGGGAAACGCAACUGAAGCCUACCAGGGAAAGUUCAAACUCAGACAUGAGCUCACCAGACAAUCAACUCUGUUAGCCUAGCAUGAGCCGCAUUACCCACUAUGAACCUGCUCCCAAACCAACUACUAACCUGUCCUAUAUGAUAUUCCUCCAACCUGUUCAACUACUCAAUGCAACAACUUAUUGACGAG